CCCGGUGAUUUUUUAACGGCCGCAAUUAAUAGUUGUGCUAAGGUAGCGUAGUCAAUUGCCCUUUAAAUGGGGGAAGGUAUGAAUGGUUUGACGUAGGAGAAGCUGUCUCUUUUUUACCUAAAGAAAUUUUUUUUCUGGUGAAAAGACCAGAUUAUUAAAAUUAGACGAGAAGACCCUAUCGAGCUUAAUAAAAAAGUUGAAAAUUCUUCUUUGUAAAUUUAGUUGGGGCAACAAAGAAACACGAAAAGAUUUCUUUUGAAGAACUUUGAUCCAGAAUUUUUGAUUAAAGGAAAAAGCUACCGUAGGGAUAACAGCGUUAUCCUUUCUGAGAGAACAAAUUGAAGAAAGG
rnacentral:rRNA from 1 species